UCAAAGUGAAAGGAGAAGAGAAAAAGCAGCGAUUUGUUCGAAACGGCGGUGAACUGAGUGUUGGUCUGAUAUCAGUGAGCAGCAGGAUGGAGGAAACGUCUCUGCUGUGUCUGCUCUUUCUGAUCUCACUGCUGAGCUGCACCACAAACCAAGGUCAGUAACCUUCUUCUGUCACACUGUAAACAUGACUCACUCUUCCAGGAGACAUUUAUUAAGAACAUGGUGCAGAGAAAUAAAGACAUCAAACUCUUCGUCAUAAUAGUGUUAUUUUACUCCUGCUGACUCUGUUAUUUAAAUUAAAGUCAUAUACAUGUCUGACAUCAAGACUUCUGCUUCUUAAUGAAGAUUCUCAUUUAAGAAAAUAUACUAAGAGACAUUAAAAGCUCAACAUACAAAUAAAUAUAGCAAGAGUAAAUAAACAGGGAUUAGUGGCUUCCAUACUCCAUUAGAACAUUUCUUUUUAUUGGAUUUUUAAUAUAUCUUAUUAAAUAUAACUAUAUGUAAACACUAGGUUGUUGUGGGUUUUUUAAUUACUUUCAUUAUAAUAUCUGUUUUAAUGCCAUGCAGUGACAGCUGGUAAUGAAUGGAAACAGGAAAUAUGGGGUUAAAAGUUAACCUCUGAAAAUCAACAGGGGAAUGACAGCAGGUGUUAUAGAAAUGCAGCAAUUACUGAAAAAAGCCAUCACUUCACUUUUGUGUGUAUGUCUGUCCUAGUGAAUGAUUCAUAACACUGCAGGUCAACAGGAGUCACAAAGUGUCAUAAAUUCAGUUGUUGUGAAAGGUGUCUGACUGCUACAAAAAUGUACAUAAUGUGCUGUAUAACCUCUUUUCUUCUUCUUCCUCACAGCUCGUCUGACUGUGAGUCCCAGCAGCUCUCAGUUCUUUGAAGGAGACUUUGUGUCUCUGAGCUGUGAGGAGGACGACAGCUCUGCUGGAUGGACUCUGAGGAGAAACACAAGCAGAGAAACCAGAGCUGAGUGUAAGGAAUGGGGAACAUCAGCUGGUUCUUCCUGUAGCAUCACUGGUUUCUUCAAACUGGACAGUGGAGUUUACUGGUGUGAGUCCAGAGAGGGUCCCAUCAGUAACAUGGUUAACCUGACAGUCACUGGUGGAUCAGUGAUCCUGCAGAGUCCUGUCCUCCCUGUGAUGGAGGGAGAUGACGUCACU